CCAUCCACGACUAUAUCUGGUCCCUUUUUUUAAAUUUCUUUAUUAAUAUUUCAGCCACAUUGCUUGUCAUUUAUCUGUUUAGUUAUUUGGUAUGCCUUUGUUCAUUUUUGGCAGGCCGUAUGUGUUCCAGUUUUACAACUUAACGGAGUACAGGUUUACAAAUUGUUUCCCAAUGAUUCUUUAGGUUUUAGUCUUACGUGCUGCCAUCUUGCCUUCUUUAGUGUCUACUUUUAUUAAUGUGUGCCUUCCCCUCUUAGUUUGGGCAAUGGUUUUUAUCAGUUUUGAUCAUCAUUUCAAAUAACUGUCUCUGCUUCUUCGUCUCCUCCCGUAACUCUUUUGGUUUGCAGAUCCUCGAUGCCAGCUCUGAUCUUUAUCAUAUCUUGUCACCUACUGUUUUGGGUUCCGUGACCUUGGAGUAGAUCACGGGGUUGGUUGUUUGAUAUGUCUCUGAUUUUGUGAUAUAGGACUUUGUAGCUGUACACUUUCCUCCUAGACCCGUUUUUUUAAUUUUAAAUAAUCUGCUUUUGUCAGUGUUGUCAGUGAAGUCCUCAAGCUCCUUGAAGGCAAGGGGAGGGAGGAGGUGACAAUGCAGCUGGAGCUGGAGGCCAGCCCCUCUGAAGAGGUGACACUCACCGAUCAUUACAUGAUCCUCAGGACACUGGGCAAAGGCAGCUUUGCUGAGGUGAAGCUGGCCUGCCACCUCCACACAGGGGUUUGGGUUGCUGUCAAGGUCCUGGAAAGGGGCGAGAAGAACGACUCCGUUAUCAUGACUGAAAUCGACAUCAUUAAGUCGCUGGACCACCCCAAUAUUAUCAAGCUGUUCCAUGUCAUCGAAAGCCGAGAGCGCACCUACAUGGUGAUGGAACAUGCUGCCGGGGGAGACCUGGUGAGCCACAUCGAGAAGGUGGGCUGUCUGCAGGAGGAAGAGACCCACCGCAUCUUCACACAGAUGGUGCGUGCGGUCAGCUACUGCCACGAGAACAGCAUCGCACACAGGGACAUCAAACCAGACAACAUCCUGCUGGACGGCAACGGGAGUGUCAAGCUGUGUGACUUUGGCCUGGCCAUCAAAGUCACAUCCGGGCAGAGGUUCAAGGGAUUCUGUGGCACCCUUGAGUACUGUGCCCCGGAGAUUUUCACUGAUGUGGAGUACGACGCUCAGGCAAAUGACAUCUGGAGCAUGGGAGUGGUUCUGUACACCAUGGUGACAGGGCGCUUCCCGUUUGAGGCCAAGACCUAUUCCCAGAUGAAGGAGAAGAUGCUGCACCCCAAGUACUCCAUCCCUCCCAUGCUCUCGCCGAACAUUGCAAGCCUCAUUGUGCAGCUGUUCACUGUGGACCCAGACCAGAGGCCCAAGAUCUGUGACGUUAUGCAGCACCAGUGGCUCAGGGGUGGUGAAGACCUUUCCAAACUGGCAUCUUCCUCAGAGGCGUGCCCCAGCAAACCAGCUCCCAGCAUUGUGGUGGCUAUGUGGGCCAUGGGUUACAAUGCCAAGGACAUUAGGGACUCUUUACGUGAAAAAAAAUUCAACAACAUCAUGGCAACUUACCUAAUUUUAAAACAUCAGUCACCCUGGGGGGACGGCGGUAAGCAUCAGAUGAAGCCUGUGCAGCACGUUGCCAUGACACCCGUGGGAGGUCCGCCCGCCUCCCAUCUCCUCCUAAAGAGGGCAGGGAGCGAGUCUGCUCUUAACAUCUUCACCCUGACAGCCAGAUGCCAUGUGUCUGACAAUGCCAAGCUUUCAAGGAGGAAGGACUGCAAAAGUCCCAGCAUGCCCGACAUCCUGUGCUGCCAGCACAUGAAAAAUCUUCCUAACGCCAAUCCCCGGCAUGCUCCUGUGGCUGCCCGGCUCAUGAAUAGCAGCUUUUGGGAGACCAGCAUGACCUCCAAGGGUGUGUCCUUAGGUAACACAUCCUCAGAGGAUAUUUUUUCUGAGAAACGUUUGUCCUGCAGAGCACCCCAGAAUGUGGUCACCGCUGUGGACAGCCCAUGCACCCACACUAUGCCAUCUGAAAAGAACUCCGGGGAGGCGCCCCUGAGUGUGACCACCAGUGAUGUGCAUGAGACUGAGAGGCACGGGUCCCACUGGGAAACAUCUUCUGGAGAGAAAUGCUCAGGUGCCCAAGGACAGAGGGCAAAGGCAGCCUCUUCCCACAGUCUGCACCAAGGGUGGAAGAGGGUUAAAAGAAGGAUGGGCAAUUGCAUGCGGAGACUGUGCUGUUGCCUGCCAGCCCAACAGACAAGCCAGGUUUUCCAGAAGAAAGUGACUCCAGUGGAGGGGAAGGCAACGGAGUCACACAAAGUGAGCUUUGAGCCUCUGUGUACGUUGACACACGGGAUUGGGGUCAGCCUGAUAGAGACUGAGACCGCUUCACCAGGAGCCAUAUAGGAAGUUCUGGUGGCCAGAGGCCUCAGCCCUGCAGUGG
rnacentral:lncRNA from 14 species